AAACCAUGCAUCGGGCAUUUUCUAUGUAAUUCUUUGAAUCUCUCCCAAGCUUCAUACUAGGAUUGUUGAAAAUAUGUAAUAUCAUUCUUUAACUU
rfam:Gossypium raimondii Chr04_contig_346, whole genome shotgun sequence.